rnacentral:rRNA from 1 species
UGGGGAAUCUUGCGCAAUGGGGGAAACCCUGACGCAGCGACGCCGCGUGCGGGAUGAAGGCCUUCGGGUUGUAAACCGCUUUCAGCAGGGACGAGGCCUUAUGGUGACGGUACCUGCAGAAGAAGCUCCGGCUAAAUACGUGCCAGCAGCCGCGGUAAUACGUAUGGAGCAAGCGUUAUCCGGAUUCAUUGGGCGUAAAGCGCUCGUAGGCGGUCUGUUAGGUCGGCAAGUUAAAUCCCGGGGCUCAACCCCCGUCCGCUUCCGAUACCGGCAGACUUGAGUUUGGUAGGGGAAGGUGGAAUUCCUAGUGUAGCGGUGGAAUGCGCAGAUAUUAGGAAGAACACCGGUGGCGAAGGCGGCCUUCUGGGCCAUAACUGACGCUGAGGAGCGAAAGCUAGGGGAGCGAACAGG